GUUGUUGCGGUUGAAAAGCUCGUAGUUGGAUCUAGGGUGCUGGUCGGUGGUCCGCCGCAAGGCGUGUACUGUCGGCUGGCCUCUUACCUCUGGUUCUCUGUCGGUGCUCUUGACUGAGUGUCGGCGGUGGCCAGUAAGUUUACUUUGAAAAAAUUAGAGUGUUCAAAGCAGGCUAUUUGCUUGUAUAUCGGUGCAUGGAAUAAUGGAAUAGGACCUCGGUUCUAUUUUGUUGGUUUUCGGAAUGGAGGUAAUGAUUAAGAGGGACAGACGGGGGCAUCCGUACUCUGCCGUUAGAGGUGAAAUUCUUGGAUCGGCGGAAGACGAACUAUUGCGAAAGCAUUUGCCAAGAAUGUUUUCUUUAAUCAAGAGCGAAAGUCAGAGGUUCGAAGACGAUCAGAUACCGUCCUAGUUCUGACCAUAAACGAUGCCAACUAGCGAUCCGUCGGCGUUACCAUGACGACUCGGCGGGGAGCUCCCGGGAAACCAAAGUCUUUGGGUUCCGGGGGAAGUAUGGUUGCAAAGCUGAAACUUAAAGGAAUUGACGGAAGGGCACCACCAGGAGUGGAGCCUGCGGCUUAAUUUGACUCAACACGGGGAAACUCACCCGGCCCGGACACAGGAAGGAUUGACAGAUUGAGAGCUCUUUCUUGAUUCUGUGGGUGGUGGUGCAUGGCCGUUCUUAGUUGGUGGAGCGAUUUGUCUGGUUAAUUCCGAUAACGAACGAGACUCUAACCUGCUAAAUAGUUACGCGACCUUAUCGGUCGGCGUCUAGAAACUUCUUAGAGGGACUAGUGGCGUUUAGCCACACGAGAAUGAGCAAUAACAGGUCUGUGAUGCCCUUAGAUGUCCGGGGCCGCACGCGCGCUACAAUGAAUAAAGCAGCGUGUUUUAUCCUUGGCCGAAAGGUCUGGGAAACCCCCGUAAAUUUAUUCGUGAUUGGGAUAGAGAUCUGGAAACCUCUCUUGAACGAGGAAUUCCCAG
rnacentral:rRNA from 1 species